UACGUAGGGUGCAAGCGUUAAUCGGAAUUACUGGGCGUAAAGCGUGCGCAGGCGGUGAUGUAAGACAGUUGUGAAAUCCCCGGGCUCAACCUGGGAACUGCAUCUGUGACUGCAUCGCUGGAGUGCGGCAGAGGGGGAUGGAAUUCCGCGUGUAGCAGUGAAAUGCGUAGAUAUGCGGAGGAACACCGAUGGCGAAGGCAAUCCCCUGGGCCUGCACUGGCGCUCAUGCACGAAAGCGUGGGGAGCAAACAGG
rnacentral:rRNA from 1 species